UACGUAGGUGGCAAGCGUUGUCCGGAUUUACUGGGCGUAAAGAGCGCGCAGGCGGUCGUGCAAGUCGCGUGUGAAAGCCCCCGGCUCAACUGGGGAGGGUCACGCGAUACUGCUCGACUUGAAGGCAGGAGAGGGAAGUGGAAUUCCCGGUGUAGUGGUGAAAUGCGUAGAUAUCAGGAGGAACACCGGUGGCGAAGGCGGCUAUCUGGACAGAGUCUGACGCUGAGGCGCGAAAGCUAGGGGAGCAAACAGG
rnacentral:rRNA from 1 species